GAUGAAGAACGUAGCGAAAUGCGAUAAGUAGUGUGAAUUGCAGAAUUCAGUGAAUCAUCGAAUCUUUGAACGCACAUUGCGCCCUUUGGUAUUCCUUAGGGCAUGCCUGUUCGAGCGUCAUUUAAACCUUCAAGCCCUGCUUGGUGUUGGGUGCCUGUCCCGCCUCCGCGCGUGGACUCACCUCAAAUCCAUUGGCGGCCCCCGCACGGCCACGAGCGCAGCAGAAACGCAAACUCGUGCCCCGACCGGGCAGCUCCCAGAAGCUACACUCACCAUUUUGACCUCGGAUCAGGUAGGGAUACCCGCUGAACUUAAGCAUAUCAAUAAGCGGAGGA
rnacentral:misc_RNA from 1 species